AAGCCUCCAUGGAAGGCUGCUCUGAGGGGUAUUCUGCUAAGUGUCAUCCAGGCAGAACGUGGAGAAGCUCUUCGAUUGCAUCUCUCCCCUGCCUUAUUGUUUCCUGCUGCCCUUGAUGCUCCACUGUUCGGGCUAUUGCAAGGUUAGAAGGAUGCUCACGACCAACAAGGCAGAGUCCUUUGCAUAUGGCCUUGAGGAUAUGUGCUUCUGAAGUCUAACAAUUUUGUGGCCAGGAGGAUCAAAACCUUCAUGGAGUGCCUGAAUAUUUCAUUACAGAUCUAGAGCUGGAAACAAACACCCACAUCGGAUGAACUAUGUAUUCAUUUUGCUCCAAUGAGAAAACCUAAAUUUGGAGAAAUGGAGCAUGAUUUUACUACCAUCAACAAAAACCAAAAUACGACUGGGAAUAUGACUUUUCAACCUAUAAAAGACCCCCUCCAGUCCCAUCAAACUGCAAAGGAGGUCGGGCACAGUGGCUGACGUCUAUAAUCCCAGCACUUUGGGAGGCCGAGGUGGGUGGAUCAUGAGGUCAGGAGUUCGAGACCAGCCUGGCCAACAUGACCUGCAUCAAGAGCUGCUAAAGGAUUUCUCUUCAUCAUCACUUAAGUGCAAUCCAGCAGCAACUAUUACAUCUGAUAAACUGC